AGUGAACGCUGGCGGUAGGCCUAACACAUGCAAGUCGAACGGCAGCACAGGAGAGCUUGCUCUCUGGGUGGCGAGUGGCGGACGGGUGAGGAAUACAUCGGAAUCUACCUUUUCGUGGGGGAUAACGUAGGGAAACUUACGCUAAUACCGCAUACGACCUACGGGUGAAAGUGGGGGACCGCAAGGCCUCACGCGAUUAGAUGAGCCGAUGUCCGAUUAGCUAGUUGGCAGGGUAAUGGCCCACCAAGGCGACGAUCGGUAGCUGGUCUGAGAGGAUGAUCAGCCACACGGGAACUGAGACACGGUCCAGACUCCUACGGGAGGCAGCAGUGGGGAAUAUUGGACAAUGGGCGCAAGCCUGAUCCAGCCAUACCGCGUGGGUGAAGAAGGCCUUCGGGUUGUAAAGCCCUUUUGUUGGGAAAGAAAUCCUAUCGGUUAAUAACCGGUGGGGAUGACGGUACCCAAAGAAUAAGCACCGGCUAACUUCGUGCCAGCCGCCGCGGUAACAC
rnacentral:rRNA from 1 species